GACAGCAGCCGCCGCGGGAAUACAGAGGGUGCGAGCGUUAAUCGGAUUUACUGGGCGUAAAGCGUGCGUAGGCGGCUUCUUAAGUCGGAUGUGAAAUCCCUGAGCUUAACUUAGGAAUUGCAUUCGAUACUGGGAAGCUAGAGUAUGGGAGAGGAUGGUAGAAUUCCAGGUGUAGCGGUGAAAUGCGUAGAGAUCUGGAGGAAUACCGAUGGCGAAGGCAGCCAUCUGGCCUAAUACUGACGCUGAGGUACGAAAGCAUGGGGAGCAAACAGGAUUAGAUACCCCAGUAGUCCCUGUCUCUUAUAC
rnacentral:rRNA from 1 species